rnacentral:rRNA from 1 species
GACGAACGCUGGCGGCGUGCCUAAUACAUGCAAGUCGAACGCAGUGGGGACGGGUGAGUAACACGUGGGUAACCUCCCAUCAGAGGGGAUAACCGUUGGCAACAGGCGCUAAACUGAUACGGGUGGAUGGACCCGCGGUGCAUUAGCUAGUUGGUGGGGUAACGGCCCACCAAGUCGACGAUGAUUAGCUGACCUGAGAGGGUGAUCGGCCACACUGGGACUGAGACACGGCCCAGACUCCUACGGGAGGCAGCAGUGGGGAAUCUUCGGCAAUGGGCGAAAGUCUGACCGAGCAACGCCGCGUGAGUGAAGAAGGUUUUCGGAUCGUAAAACUCUUUUGUUAGAGAGGCGGUAUCUAACCAGAAAGCCACGGCUAACUCCGUGCCAGCAGCCGCGGUAAUUC